UAGCUACUCCCUCCGUUCGGAAUUACUUGUCUCGGAAAUGGAUGUAUCUAGAACUAAAAUACGUCUAGAUACAUCCAUUUCAGCGACAAGUAAUUCCGAACGGAGGGAGUAGCUA
rnacentral:pre_miRNA from 1 species